rnacentral:rRNA from 1 species
UACGAAGGGGGCUAGCGUUGUUCGGAAUUACUGGGCGUAAAGCGCGCGCAGGCGGUUCUUCAAGUCAGAGGUGAAAGCCCAGAGCUCAACUCUGGAAUGGCCUUUGAGACUAGAGAACUUGGGUACGGGAGAGGUGAGUGGAAUUCCGAGUGUAGAGGUGAAAUUCGUAGAUAUUCGCAAGAACACCAGUGGCGAAGGCGGCUCACUGGCUCGGUACUGACGCUGAGGUGCGAAAGCGUGGGGAGCAAACAGG